UAAUCCUUAGCUCAGCCGGUUAGAGCAUCUGACUGUUAAUCAGAGCCCCGAUAGCUAUCGGGGUUGGUUCGAGCCCAAGAGGGGGAG
rnacentral:tRNA from 1 species